rnacentral:lncRNA from 1 species
GCAACCCGCUGGCGUCCCCUUCCACACCGUGGAAGGUUUGUUCUUUCGCUCUUUUCAAUAAAUCUUGCUACCGCUCACUCUUUGGGUCCAGACUGCCUUUAUGAACUGUAACACUCACCUCCAAGGUCUGCAGCUUCACUCCUGAAGCCAGUGAGACCACGAGCCCACCAGGAGGAACGAACAACUCCAGACGCGCCGCCUUAAGAGCUGUAACACUCACUGCUAAGGUCUACAGCUUCAUUCCUGAGCCAGCGAGACCACGAACCCACCAGAAGGAAGAAACUCUGAACACAUCCAAACAUCAGAAGGAAUAAACUCCGGACAUGCCGCCUUUAAGAACUGUAACACUCACCGUGUUAAGAACUGUAACACUCACCGUGAGGGUCUGCGGCAUCAUUCUUGAAAAUCAAGUUAAAGUUUUGUUCUGAAAUUUCAAGGCCUUUCACACCAAUUUGAUACGGUUUGGAUUUGUGUCCCUGCUGGAAUGUAAAGUUGAACUGUAAUCCCGGAUGCUGGAUGAGGGACCUGCUGGGAGGUGAUUGCAUCAUGGGGGCAUAUUUCCCCCUUGCUGUUCUCAUGAUGACACAAAUGAACAGCAGAACUCUUGCUCCCAUGAAUUGGCAAGUAUAGUCAGAAGUCUCCCCACUGUGGAUGGGAGACAGAAAAGAAAGAAAGAGCCUGAAUUACUGAGGGGCCUGAACAGAACAAAAUGUCAGAGGAAAGUUGAAUUCGCUCUCUGCUUGUGAGUGCUUGAACUGGAACAUGGAUUGGCCCUCAGUGCUCCUGUUUCUUAGGCCUUCAAGACUAGAUCAGAAUCUUCACCAUCAGCACUGUUUGUCCUCCUGCUUUCAGGCCUUCAAACC